CACACACACAGCCGGUAGUGGUGGCGCACGCCGGUAGGAUUUGCUGAAGGAGGCAGAGGCAGGAGGAUCACGAGUUCGAGGCCAGCCUGGGCUACACAUUUUUUUCACCCUCCGCUCCUCACCCUUUCCUCAACACACUUCUUACACACUCACCCCUGCGCUCCUCCUCUUCUUUGCACUCUUCGCCGGUAGUGGUGGCGCACGCCGGUAGGAUUUGCUGAAGGAGGCAGAGGCAGGAGGAUCACGAGUUCGAGGCCAGCCUGGGCUACACAUUUUUUUCACCCUCCGCUCCUCACCCUUUCCUCAACACACUUCUUACACACUCACCCCUGCGCUCCUCCUCUUCUUUGCACUCUUCGCCGGUAGUGGUGGCGCACGCCGGUAGGAUUUGCUGAAGGAGGCAGAGGCAGGAGGAUCACGAGUUCGAGGCCAGCCUGGGCUACACAUUUUUUUCACCCUCCGCUCCUCACCCUUUCCUCAACACACUUCUUACACACUCACCCCUGCGCUCCUCCUCUUCUUUGCACUCUUCGCCGGUAGUGGUGGCGCACGCCGGUAGGAUUUGCUGAAGGAGGCAGAGGCAGGAGGAUCACGAGUUCGAGGCCAGCCUGGGCUACACAUUUUUUUCACCCUCCGCUCCUCACCCUUUCCUCAACACACUUCUUACACACUCACCCCUGCGCUCCUCCUCUUCUUUGCACUCUUCGCCGGUAGUGGUGGCGCACGCCGGUAGGAUUUGCUGAAGGAGGCAGAGGCAGGAGGAUCACGAGUUCGAGGCCAGCCUGGGCUACACAUUUUUUUCACCCUCCGCUCCUCACCCUUUCCUCAACACACUUCUUACACACUCACCCCUGCGCUCCUCCUCUUCUUUGCACUCUUC
rnacentral:lncRNA from 1 species